CAAUAGCGUAUAUUAAAGUUGUUGCGGUUAAAAAGCUCGUAGUUGGAUUUCUGCCUGAGGCAGCCGGUCCGCACUUAGUGCGUGUAUCUGGUUUGGUUUGGGCAUCCUCUUGGGGAUCGUUGCUGUGCUUAGUUGCAUGGUGCGGAAUUCAAGACGUUUACUUUGAGGAAAUUAGAGUGGUUACGGCAAGCUAUCGCUUUGAAUACAUUAGCAUGGAAUAAUAAUAUAGGGCGUAAGUUCUAUCUUGUUGGUUUUGAGAACCAGAGUAAUGAUUAAUAGGGACAGUUGGGGGCAUUCAUAUUUCAUUGUCAGAGGUGAAAUUCUUGGAUUUAUGAAAGAUGAACUUCUGCGAAAGCAUUUGCCAAGGAUGUUUUCAUUAAUCAAGAACGAAAGUUAGGGAUCGAAGAUGAUCAGAUACCAU
rnacentral:rRNA from 1 species